GCUCUUGGUGGUUCUGGAUUUGCAUUUUUAUUGUUAAAUCAGAUAGGCUAAAAUAAAUUAAAAAUGUG
rnacentral:tRNA from 1 species